AUUGAACGCUGGCGGCAUGCCUUACACAUGCAAGUCGAACGGCAGCACGGGUGCUUGCACCUGGUGGCGAGUGGCGAACGGGUGAGUAAUACAUCGGAACGUACCUUAUCGUGGGGGAUAACGCAGCGAAAGUUGCGCUAAUACCGCAUACGCCCUGAGGGGGAAAGCGGGGGACCGUAAGGCCUCGCGCGAUUAGAGCGGCCGAUGUCUGAUUAGCUUGUUGGUGAGGUAAAAGCUCACCAAGGCGAUGAUCAGUAGCUGGUCUGAGAGGACGAUCAGCCACACUGGGACUGAGACACGGCCCAGACUCCUACGGGAGGCAGCAGUGGGGAAUUUUGGACAAUGGGGGCAACCCUGAUCCAGCAAUGCCGCGUGAGUGAAGAAGGCCUUCGGGUUGUAAAGCUCUUUUGUCAGGGAAGAAACAGCAGCUCUAACACAGUCUGCGAAUGACGGUACCUGAAGAAUAAGCACCGGCUAACUACGUGCCAGCAGCCGCCGCGG
rnacentral:rRNA from 1 species